rnacentral:rRNA from 1 species
AUUGAACGCUGGCGGCAGGCCUAACACAUGCAAGUCGAACGAGUGGCGGACGGGUGAGUAAUGUCUGGGAAACUGCCCGAUGGAGGGGGAUAACUACUGGAAACGGUAGCUAAUACCGCAUACUAUCGGAUGUGCCCAGAUGUGAUUAGCUUGUAGGUGAGGUAACGGCUCACCGAGGCGACGAUCCCUAGCUGGUCUGAGAGGAUGACCAGUCACACUGGAACUGGGGCACGUUCCAGACUCCUACGGGAGGCAGCAGUGGGGAAUAUUGCACAAGGGGCGCAAUCCUGAGACAGCCAUGCCGCGUGGAGGAAGAAUGCCUUCGGGUUGUAAAGUACUUCCAGCGGGGAGGCUUUACCCGCAGAAGAAGCACCGGCUAACUCCGUGCCAGCAGCCGCGGUAAUAC